AGGCUGUCCGGUCAUAGAAGCAAGAAGGGUUUAAAGGUCCUCUCUUUUCAUUUGAUGAGGUACUCUUAUGAUGUGUAAGGGUGUCAUGUGAUUAGAUCCCAUGAAGAAGAAAGUGAAAGAAGAAAACUUACUUUCUUGCAAAAUCCUAGAUCUUGAAACCCUAGGUGUUGUUGUAUGUGAUGCAAGUUACGAAGAAGUUAG
rnacentral:lncRNA from 1 species